rnacentral:rRNA from 1 species
UACGUAGGCAGCGAGCGUUGUUCGGAAUUACUGGGCGUAAAGAGUGUGUAGGCGGUGCUCUAAGUUCGGUGUGAAAUCUCCUGGCUUAACUGGGAGGGUGCGCCGGAAACUGGAGUGCUCGAGCGUGGGAGAGGAAAGCGGAAUUCCUGGUGUAGCGGUGAAAUGCGCAGAUAUCAGGAGGAACACCGGUGGCGAAGGCGGGUCUCUGGGCCGAUACUGACGCUGAGGAGCGAAAGCGUGGGGAGCGAACAGG